rnacentral:rRNA from 1 species
UACGAAGGGGGGCUAGCGUUGCUCGGAAUCACUGGGCGUAAAGGGUGCGUAGGCGGCUUUGUAAGUCAGUGGUGAAAUAUGGCAGCUCAACUGUCAGGGUGCCAUUGAUACUGCAGAGCUUGAGUACAGAUGAGGUAGGCGGAAUUGACGGUGUAGCGGUGAAAUGCUUAGAUAUCGUCAAGAACACCUAUAGCGAAGGCAGCUUACUAGGCUGUAACUGACGCUGAGGCACGAAAGUGUGGGGGAUCAAACAGG